UACGUAGGGGGCAAGCGUUGUCCGGAUUUAUUGGGCGUAAAGAGCGUGUAGGCGGUUUGGUAGGUCCGCUGUGAAAACUCGAGGCUCAACCUCGAGACGCCGGUGGAAACCAUCAGGCUAGAGUCCGGAAGAGGAGAGUGGAAUUCCUGGUGUAGCGGUGAAAUGCGCAGAUAUCAGGAAGAACACCCGUGGCUAAGGCGGCUCUCUAGUACGGUACUGACGCUGAGACGCGAAAGCGUGGGGAGAGAACAGG
rnacentral:rRNA from 1 species